CAAAGUACUUUGAAGAGAGAGUUAAACAGGGCGUGAAACCGCUAGCUGGUAAACGAGUGGAGCCACGAAGUCGUUUCGUAGAACAAAGCGCACAGAUUCAGUUUAUGUAAUUCCUGAAAUAUGCGAAUUGCAUAGAUGCAUUUCUGUUUGUGCUUCUAUGUAUGCGUACACUGCAACCAAUUAGACGAUCAAUUGUGGAAACAGUUAGUUAUAUAUUCCAUGUAGGUAGCCUGGUAGGACACUUGUUGUUCUAUUGGGUGUCUGACGUGCGUAAUAUGAGAACUACAAUUGAAUACUGAUUGGCACAAAGAAAAUCCAUUCGCAAGAAUGGUUUUUAGAUAAUACUACUUAUUUUGUAUAUGUGUACAAGUAUUUAUUACUGGUGUAAGCUUAGUAGUUUUAAAUUUAGACUAUCUGGCUAUCUAGGGUUUCGGCUUUGGAUGCUUGUUUAGCUUUCUAUCUAAUUGGCUGCUGACUUCACUUUUAAUUUUGUGCUUGCUAUGUUAGCAUGUAUGCAAAAAUAGGCAAGUCAUCUUAUUGGCAGUGAGUAGGUCGGCUUUCCACACGACCCGUCUUGAAACACGGACCAAGGAGUCUAGUUAAGUAUCGAGUUGAUCGGUCUUGAUUAGGCCAGAAUGGAUUUAUCCAAUUGAAAGCAAAGUGAUAUGUGAUCUACUCCUCAAAAAAGGACUAAGCGCAACAUAUACCUACUUGUAUGACUAUACGCGCAAGUGUAGUUAGUAGAGUAAAGAGAUACUUGACUGGUACCCGAAAGAUGGUGAGCCUGGGCAAAUUGAAGCCAGAGGAAACUCUGGUGGAGGAUUGUAGCGAUUCUGACGUGCAAAUCGAUCGUCAGACCUGGGUAUAGGGGCGAAAGACUAAUCGAACCAUC
rnacentral:rRNA from 1 species